UUAACUGACGCUAAAGCUCGAAGGUGCGGGUAUCGAACAGGAUUAGAUACCCUGGUAGUCCGCACGGUAAACGAUGGAUGCCCGCUGUUGGCGAUACAAUGUCAGCGGCCAAGCGAAAGCGUUAAGCAUCCCACCUGGGGAGUACGCCGGCAACGGUGAAACUCAAAGGAAUUGACGGGGGCCCGCACAAGCGGAGGAACAUGUGGUUUAAUUCGAUGAUACGCGAGGAACCUUACCCGGGCUUGAACUGCAGCAGAACGAUUCAGAGAUGAUGAGGCCCUUCGGGGCUGCUGUGGAGGUGCUGCAUGGUUGUCGUCAGCUCGUGCCGUGAGGUGUCGGCUUAAGUGCCAUAACGAGCGCAACCCUUUUCGCCAGUUGCCAGCAUGUUGAGGUGGGCACUCUGGGGAUACUGCCACCGUAAGGUGUGAGGAAGGUGGGGAUGACGUCAAAUCAGCACGGCCCUUACGUCCGGGGCUACACACGUGUUACAAUGGGGCAUACAGAAGGCCGGUCGCCCGCAAGAGCGAUCAAAUCUUAAAAGUGUCCCUCAGUUCGGAUUGGGGUCUGCAACCCGACCCCAUGAAGCUGGAUUCGCUAGUAA
rnacentral:rRNA from 1 species